GGUGGCUGGAGUGAAACCAGGCUUAGGCACCACAGCCAACAUGGAGGGAGAAAAGAGACUGGAGAAAGUGACGUCAACAGCAAUACCCCUAGUUGGUCUGCUCCCCUGAAGACUUCAUAUACCGAUACAUCCCAGAGGACCUGCUGCACUCAGAGCAGUUGAAUUACAGGGAUGGAAAUGGAGAGGAGCCUGAGGAAAAGGAGGUCCAGCAACAGGCCCAAAGUGGGAUCCAGCUCAAGGGGAGGUCCCAAGGCCUGACGCUAUUACUGAGGCUAUGGAGUGCUCACAAAAAGGGACCAAGCAUGCCUGCCCUCCAAAGACCCAACAAGCAGCUGAAAGAGUCAGAUGCAGUUAUUUGCACCCAACCAAUGGACAGAAGCAGCUGACCCCUGUUGUUGAAUUAGGGAAGCUGAAAGAAGUGAGGGCUGAAGAACAUGCAUGUGGAAACAUCUUUACUCAUGAAGACACUGUGACAGGCACAGAGCUCCGAUUUAUCCAGGUGUUGGGAUGAAGAUGGCUUUACUCAUGAAGGACCAGGAUUUUACCUAAGGGAAGAACAUGCUUCAUAAAGAAGCAUUUUUAAAACCAAUUUGCAUGAUUACUGAAAUUUGAACUGGAACCUGAAACAGGGUAAACACACCUUGUGUUCAUAUAAUGUGAAGGUCAAAUAUUACAGGGUCGCCAUGCAUGUGAAUUCCCAGUAGCACAUUCAAGAGUAGGCUUGGCACUCCUCUAUGCACUACAGAAGUGCCAUUCAUUAUGUCUUAUCUACAUGUAUAUGCACAUUCCUGUGUGUGCCCAUGUGUGUGGGUACAUGACUUUGUGCAGAUGUGUGGGCAUGUGAGCAUGCCUGGAGAGGCCAGAGAUUGAUUGGAAGAGCAUUCCUCAGUUGCUCUCCACCUAUUUUCUGAGGCAAGGUCUCUUACGAAUCUGGAAGUGACAGGUUAGACAAACUUGCCAGCAAACCCCAAGGAUCAUCCUGCCCAGGCCUCCCCAGUGCUGGUUCCAGGGACACAUGCCUGCUUCUGGCUUUUUACAUGAGUGUAGGAGAUCAAGUUCAAGUCCCCCAAAGUGGCUAGCACUUUAUUGACUCUAAGAAGCCCACAUCAGUGCCAACUGCCAGAGGAGGGAUGGAGAUACCUGUGGCUAUCUAGCCAAGUGGCUCAGUGGCUGCAGCCAUACGUGAGUCCUGAGUAAGACCAGCAGAAGAGCUCCACUAAGGCCUUGCCCAGAAGGCUGACAACAGAAUUCUGAAUAAAUGAAAUGAUUUUUGUUUUAAGCUAC
rnacentral:lncRNA from 1 species